AGGACGAACGCUGGCGGCGUGCCUAACACAUGCAAGUCGAACGGAGUGAUAGAAGCUUGCUCUGGAACUUAGUGGCGGACGGGUGAGUAACACGUGAGUAACCUGCCUUUCAGAGGGGAAUAAUGUUUGGAAACGGACACUAAUACCGCAUAAUAUAUUUGAAUCGCAUGAUUGAGAUAUCAAAGGAGCGAUCCGCUGAAAGAUGGACUCGCGUCUGAUUAGCCAGUUGGCGGGGUAACGGCCCACCAAAGCGACGAUCAGUAGCCGGACUGAGAGGUUGAACGGCCACAUUGGGACUGAGACACGGCCCAGACUCCUACGGGAGGCAGCAGUGGGGGAUAUUGCACAAUGGGCGCAAGCCUGAUGCAGCCAACGCCGCGUGCAGGAAGACGGUCUUCGGAUUGUAAACUGUUGUCCUCUGUGACGAUAAUGACGGUAGCAGAGGAGGAAGCCACGGCUAACUACGUGCCAGCAGCCGC
rnacentral:rRNA from 1 species